rnacentral:rRNA from 1 species
UAGGGAAUUUCGUCAAUGGGCGCAAGCCUGAACGAGCAAUGCCGCGUGAACGAGGAAGGUCUUCGGAUCGUAAAGUUCUGUUGAAGGGGAAAAAGAGCGGAGAGAGGAAAUGCUUUCUGAUUGAUAUUACCCUUCGAGGAAGUCACGGCUAACUACGUCGCC